CGGAGUAGCAGCCCGGCUCGGGUCGCUGGCGGCGGCACUGCAUUAAUCAGGCCACAGCCUCUGCGGUGCUCCGGGAGGGGAGUAAGAGGCCGGGGCUGGGAAGGAGCUCGAGCUUGUUCGGGCCACAGAGCCUCGCUCCCUCAGUCCUUCCGGCCCCGGACUCAGAGCCAACGGCUCAAGGAGUAGGGCAGGGCCAGCAACUGGCGCGGGUCCGGGGGUCCCGAAGAGAACGGGGGCUGGGAAGGGCGACGCCCCAGGCCUGGCCUCCUCGGAAAGGAGGGGAGCCGUGCACGGGGGCAGCUCUCAGCCCGGGGGCUCACUCCCCACGCCUGUGCUGCGCCGCGGCCGGCCUCUGGUCUCUGCGUGAGCCUGGGAAGUGGGCCCGCCAGGCUCCCGUCAGAUGGGCUGCCGAGGAGGGCAGCUGAGCGCGCGCCUCUUUGCAUGAAUUUCUCAGCGUUACAGUUUCAUCUCUCCAUUCCCCCACAGUGCUGCUUUUUGUUUCUUAAGACGUGAUGCAAUGACCAGCAUCAGAGAUGCAGGCAUAGGGGCCGGAAGGAGGGCAGGGAGCAGACAGGAAGCGGAAGGCUGGGCCCGCCUGCCCUGCUGCCCAGGCCGAGGGGAAGCCGGAAGCUUCUGCCUUGGGGCCGUUUUACAAGCUGUGAAGGGAAACCUCAGGGCCCGAGAGGCACCUCGUUUUCCUUCCCCUUCUUCCUUUCACCCUUCCUUCCCUUCACUCCCUUCUUUCUUUGGGGACAGACGCAAGCAUCUGUAGAGAUACAUAUACACGCGUACGUGCGUGCUUAUAACUACAAGGCCGACUGGUGUUUUGUACUAAGUUUUAAAGAAUUAAGGCACUAUGAGAGGAGAAGUUAAUUUUAAUGGAAAAAUGUAGUAAUUUUUCUCGAAAUAAGUAGGAUGUGGGGUGGAGUUUUGAGAACGCGGUAAGACUUCUGCAUGAGAGAAGAAGGCAGGCCAGGCAGCAAGUAGAGCCUGAACAGCGACAAAACAGUGAGCGAUUUCACAGCGUUUGGGAGAGCUGCUGCGGACACAAUACAGCAGGUCUGCACAAUCUUUCAGAUGGAUGGAAAUAUCAAAGGACAAACACAAGACAGGGUGAUGUUUGCAAAUGGAGACCUGUGCAAAGUGCAACUGGGUGCAUCUGUGGUGUCUGGAGAAUUCCAGGAUUGUUGUGAAGAUCAAAUAAAACAAUAAAUGAACAAGUUUUCUGUUAAUGAAUUCAGUGGCCACAUAAUGGAGUUAGUGGCUUCCAUUGUUCAUUUAAUCUGCACUAUACUCCAGUGCCGUGGACAUGGCAGGCUUCAUCUGAAAACAUGAGCCCAGGACAUAUUCAGUGACUUGCUAAAACUCAACAGCCACUGCACAAGAGAGCCAGGAUUCAAAACGGAGCUUCCUGACUUUCUGAAGAUUGGAAAAUUCAUAAUGGUGGCACCAACAGACCUGGUGCCUGUCGAAAGCCUGUUGCUGACCCACAGUGUCUUGCUGUGUCCUCACCUGUGAAAGAGAAUGGACCCUUGGGCCUCUUCCCUAUGGGCCCUGUUAUGGACCAUCUAGAAUGACCUCCAAAGCCUCAUGUGCUUGGAUGGUGACUGGUUCAUGGGGUACCAUCACUGACCUGCUUUUGAGGGACAUUCUUAAAACUUUGCAGAAACUUGGUGGUGUCUUUGAGCGAUGAUUAUGUUACAGCGGUAGAGCCCUUGUGGAUAGGAUUCUAAAAGGGGCCUGUAUGAGUAGCUUGCCCUUCCCACCGUGUGAGGACACAGCAAGAAGUGCCAUCUAUGAAGCAGAGUGAGCCGUCACCACAGACUGAACCUGCUCCUGUCCUGACUUGGACUUGUGUGUGUGUAUUUUUUUUUCCUCAGUAAUCCCUGUGAGUGAAUGAACGAAUGCAGGAGAGUACUGUGGAAGCGAGUACCUGCGUACAUAAGGAAACCAUUCUUGAAUAUUUCUUUUUGGUUUAUCUGAAAUUCUCUCUUUCCCCCCAAAUCCUCUUACAUCUUCCCCAGUAGAAUUAUACUCCCAAGAAAGAUUUGGCUUCUUUCCGCCUUUGUGUCUCAGCUCAUCGUUAUCCUUUCCCCUCAUGACAGUUGCCACCUGGGAGAGCUCUGACUCUUCUGUAUCAAAGCAAACCAUUGGCCUUUACAGGGAAGAGAAGGUGUCCCUAUGGGUGCUCUGCCUCCUGUGUGGUGGAAACUGGAUAUUCCCCAUCAUCCCUCACGACUACGGCAGGCCAGAGCCAAACUGCUCUUGCAUUACAGAAUCUCAUUAAUUUCUGUUUAACCAAAAGAUUCAAAGGAGGCAAAAAUGAUACACACACACACUUGCUCCUGUCAAGAGCCAUUCUACAUAAAAUUUGGGGGAAAGUUAUUUCAUAAUAAAAGUAUGACUAUAGCUGUCUAAGGCCCAAUGUCACCUUGCCCUUGAGCCGCCUAUGGCAGGAGGAAACAUAGCUCUGUUUUGCCUCCAGUCACAAGUUGAAGCCUCAGUGCUCUCCUAAUACUGUGACGCUAAGGGGCAGCUGAGGACAUCCGGGUUCUUCAAGAACUGAGCAGUAAUAAAAAAGAGAAAAUUUUCACCUGGGUGAAGGACAACUUCUUUUUAGCUUGCUGUCUUUUUCUACCUACUGUUGUAAGAAUGCUGUGCUGACCACCUUCAUCAACAUAACAUCCUCGUGACAUAGGGUCACCGCUGUCCUCUACGUCACCCGAUGCUUCCUCUAAUUAUUGUGUGUGCUCAAUAGAUAAUGGCUAGCUCGGAGAGUCUUCGAUUUUGUCCACUCGGAGGCAUUGACCUCCCCACCCAUAUACUUUGAAAUUACGCAUUUCCAUUGUUUUAUUUUCUUUAGCCCUCCCUGUCCCCCUUCUGGGCAGUUGGAGGACUGUUCACCCUCCGAUAGCUCCAAAUGAGGAAUCACUGGUUCGUGUGCAAGACAGCAAAGCAAAUAGCUGCGUGGAACUGCUCAGAGCAGCACCGUGGCACUCUCAGGCCCUGAGACCAGACACAGAAGUCUGUAUUAGUACUCAGAUAGCGCAGUGCUGUUAGGAUCUGCCUGUAGGGCAUCUCUGGCUUUGCAUUUGCAUGGAGCUCUUCUCUGCCAGUAGGUAGCUCACCCUUUCAGGGGCAGUGAGGAUGGAAGGUUUGAAUGUACUGGAGAUUUCUUGUGGGUUCGGUAAUGCAUUAUCAAGUGUGUUGUAUCCUUGUCACUCCACCUCUAAAACCGUGACAAGUGUGUUGUUUGAUAGCAGACUGUUGCUUUCAGGAUAUUUUUCCAGCCACAUUGCAGGAAAUUGGUCUUUAUGCAUCUCUCUCCCUUACCUAGACUAUGAGCUUUUAUAAAACCUAUGCCUACCUCUCUGUAGUGCCUAGCAUAAUGCCUGGAUUGUAAUAACAUAAAAUACUACCAGAAUACUCCUUCAAAAUACUACCAAAGCAUUCCAAAUCACACAAUUUAACCUAUACUCCUUAGUCUGAAUGUUUUCUUAAUAUGUAUUUUCUGAAUUUACACUUUUAUUAGGAAAAAAAAGGGAAAGAAUAAUUGAGACUUGUUUCAGAUUUAGCCUACCACUCCUAACCUGUCAUCCACUAUCCUAUCUCCUAGGAACAGUAGAUGAUGGUUAUUACUAUAAAUCUAAAACCUUGUGGAGAACUUUUAAUGAAAUUAAGUCUGCCAGGUGCUUGGGGAUGCAAUUGGUAUACAUAUUUUAAAUGCUUAUAUUACUCACAUUGAUCACUUUAGGGAUCCAGAAUCCUCUGCAAUUUGCUAGUUCAGAUAUCCUGAUCUGUCCUGCAUUCCUCAUUCCCUAGAAAAAUUAAGAUUCCCUGAAACGAAGUCACAGGAAUUGGCAGGAUUCCAAGGUGGUGUUAUUGCCAGGCUAAUAGUGCUUAAUAAUCAAUUAGGCUUAUUCAUUAGUGUUAUUAACCCUCUCCCCCAGAACUACCUGCAAUCAGCUACACGAUGGCAGACAGAUGCUUUCCAGGUGUUUUCACAAAGCCAUCUUGUGAUUUUUCCCAGUCCAACCAGACAGGCUGUGAAAGAUGCCUGGGGUGGGAAGAGAGGAGUUGGGUUCUGUGUGGAAAGAUGCAGACGGGGAGCGCAGUGAAUGAGCACACAUUUUUCCAAACAGAGCUUGUCUGAGCCAGGUCUGCUGUUAAUUAGUGUUGGGUUUUCUGAGAACACAGCGUCCAGACUGUGGCAGACAGGAUGCACCCCAUCUGUGCGUAGCUCUGGCCAGGGGGGCUGGUUACAGGAAGAACCCUUCCCCGUGGACACCCUCCUGCAGCCUGAUGAGCACAUUCACCCACCAAGAGCAGAACGGCGGUGGGUUCCAGGGUGACGUGGUGCGCUUCUCCAGUUGCCUAGGAAGAGGGGGCUGUGUGCGUCUGGGUGAGUCAGUCCCACCACUCGUGCGUAGACCUAGUGACAGCUUUUCUAGAAUGUGAAAAUGAGGGUCAUAUCCUAGCACCUGGAUACAUUAAAGCUUACAGAGCAAAAGUCUGUACCAGUGAAGGUAUUUGGGUUGAUUGAGCAGGUUCCAGAGCCCAGACUUUUCCCUGCCUGCGCCUUUGGCUGAGUGCAGCCUAGACACCAAGCAGGUCAGACAGGACUGUGCUGCUCCAUUUCCACGACCAACUGUGUAGUCCCAGCCCAGGCUGCCUUUCUGGAGCUCCCUUCCCUGCUUCUGACAGAGCAGAUGGAGAGUGGGAGUGAGCGCACAGCUCAGGCAGCCCCUGUGCCUGGGUGCUGGACAUUCAUGUAAUUAUCAUAAUAAAAAUAAAAUUGUUACCCAUGAGGGAGGGCUUGCCAGGUGUGCAUUUAACUCUUGCAGCAGCUCUUUUAACAUUG